UAGAGUUUGAUCCUGGCUCAGGAUGAACGCUAGCUACAGGCUUAACACAUGCAAGUCGAGGGGCAGCAGGACGGUAGCUUGCUACUGUCGCUGGCGACCGGCGCACGGGUGAGUAACGCGUAUCCAACCUUCCCCUGAGUAGGGAAUAGCCCGGCGAAAGUCGGAUUAAUGCCCUAUGUUGUCCGACGAUAGCAUUUGAAUUGGAUGAAAGAUUUAUCGCUCAGGGAUGGGGAUGCGUCUGAUUAGGUUGCAGGCGGGGUAACGGCCCACCUGGCCGACGAUCAGUAGGGGUUCUGAGAGGAAGGUCCCCCACAUUGGAACUGAGACACGGUCCAAACUCCUACGGGAGGCAGCAGUGAGGAAUAUUGGUCAAUGGGCGAGAGCCUGAACCAGCCAAGUAGCGUGCAGGAUGACGGCCCUAUGGGUUGUAAACUGCUUUUGGAGGGGAAUAAAGUGGCGUACGUGUACGCCUUUGUAUGUACCCUCAGAAUAAGGACCGGCUAAUUCCGUGCCAGCAGCCGCGGUAAUACGGAAGGUCCGGGCGUUAUCCGGAUUUAUUGGGUUUAAAGGGAGCGCAGGCCGCCGAUUAAGCGUGACGUGAAAUGUCCCGGCUCAACCGGGGAGUUGCGUCGCGAACUGGUUGGCUUGAGUGCGGACGAGGUAUGCGGAAUUCGUGGUGUAGCGGUGAAAUGCUUAGAUAUCACGAAGAACCCCGAUUGCGAAGGCAGCGUACCAGGCCGUAACUGACGCUAAUGCUCGAAGGUGCGGGUAUCGAACAGGAUUAGAUACCCUGGUAGUCCGCACGGUAAACGAUGGAU
rnacentral:rRNA from 1 species